rnacentral:rRNA from 1 species
UUUUUCUGCUCAGAUUGAACGCUGGCGGCGUGCUUAACACAUGCAAGUCGAGCGAGAAAGUUCUCUUCGGAGAAUGAGUAGAGCGGCGCACGGGUGAGUAACGCGUGGAUAAUCUACCCUGAAGAUCGGGAUAACAGUUGGAAACGACUGCUAAUACCGGAUAUCCUGCAUAUUUAGCUUUAUGUGGUAAAGGCGGCCUCUAUUUAUAAGCUGCCGCUUUGGGAUGAGUCCGCGUCUCAUUAGCUUGUUGGUGGGGUAAUGGCCUACCAAGGCAACGAUGAGUAGCUGGUCUGAGAGGAUGAUCAGCCACACUGGGACUGAAACACGGCCCAGACUCCUACGGGAGGCAGCAGUGGGGAAUAUUGCGCAAUGGGGGAAACCCUGACGCAGCGACGCCGCGUGCGGGAAGAAGGCCUUCGGGUCGUAAACCGCUGUCAGGAGGGAAGAAACUGUUAGGGUAUAAUACGCCCUUUCACUGACGGUACCUCCAAAGGAAGCACCGGCUAACUCCGUGCCAGCAGCCGCGGUAAUACGGAGGGUGCGAGCGUUAAUCGGAAUCACUGGGCGUAAAGCGCACGUAGGCGGCGCAUCAAGUCAGGCGUGAAAGCCCUCGGCUCAACCGAGGAAUUGCGCUUGAAACUGGUGUGCUGGAGUCUCGGAGAGGUUGGCGGAAUUCCAGGUGUAGGAGUGAAAUCCGUAGAUAUCUGGAGGAACACCGGUGGCGAAGGCGGCCAACUGGACGAGUACUGACGCUGAGGUGCGAAAGCGUGGGGAGCAAACAGGAUUAGAUACCCUGGUAGUCCACGCUGUAAACGAUGGAUAUUAGGUGUCGGGGGUUACCUUCGGUGCCGCAGUUAACGCGUUAAAUUCCC